ensembl:snRNA U1 U1 spliceosomal RNA
AUACUUACCUGGCAGGGAGAUAGCAUGAUCAUGAAGCUGGUUUUCCCAGGGUGAUGCUUAUCCAGGUGCACUCUGGAUGUGUUGACCCCUGCAAUUUCCCCAAAUGUGGGAAACUUAACUGCAUAAUUUGUGGUAGUAGGGGACUGCAUUCCUGCUUUCCACUG